rnacentral:rRNA from 1 species
UACGAAGGGGACUAGCGUUGUUCGGAAUCACUGGGCGUAAAGCGCACGUAGGCGGAUUUGUAAGUCAGGGGUGAAAUCCCGGGGCUCAACCUCGGAACUGCCUUUGAUACUGCGGCGCUGGAAUGCAGGAGAGGAUGGCGGAAUUCCCAGUGUAGAGGUGAAAUUCGUAGAUAUUGGGAAGAACACCGGUGGCGAAGGCGGCCAUCUGGCCUGUAAUUGACGCUGAGGCGCGAAAGCGUGGGGAGCAAACAGG